rnacentral:rRNA from 1 species
GAUGAACGCUGGCGGCGUGCUUAACACAUGCAAGUCGAACGGAAAGGCCCAAGCUUGCUUGGGUACUCGAGUGGCGAACGGGUGAGUAACACGUGGGUGAUCUGCCCUGCACUUCGGGAUAAGCCUGGGAAACUGGGUCUAAUACCGGAUAGGACCACAUUUUGGAUGGUGUGGUGGAAAGUUUUUCGGUGUGGGAUGAGCUCGCGGCCUAUCAGCUUGUUGGUGGGGUAAUGGCCUACCAAGGCGUCGACGGGUAGCCGGCCUGAGAGGGUGUACGGCCACAUUGGGACUGAGAUACGGCCCAGACUCCUACGGGAGGCAGCAGUGGGGAAUAUUGCACAAUGGGCGCAAGCCGGAUGCAGCGACGCCGCGGGGGGGAGGACGGCCUUCGGGUUGUAAACGCCUUUCGCUAGGGACGAAGCGUUAUGUGACGGUACCUGGAGAAGAAGCACCGGCUAACUACGUG